rnacentral:rRNA from 1 species
GACGAACGCUGGCGGCGUGCUUAACACAUGCAAGUCGAACGGAAAGGCCCUGCUCUUGUGGGGUGCUCGAGUGGCGAACGGGUGAGUAACACGUGAGUAAACUGCCCUUGACUUUGGGAUAACUUCCGGAAACUGGGGCUAAUACCGGAUAGGAGCUCCUGCUGCAUGGUGGUGGUUGGAAAGUUUCGGCGGUUGGGGAUGGACUCGCGGCUAAUCCGCUUGUUGGUGGGGUAGUUGCUUACCAAGUGUUUGACGGGUAGCCGACCUGGGAGCUUGACCGGCGACAAGGGGCCUACGGGACGCCCCAGACGCGAAUGGGCGGCAGUAGGGGGGAGUAUUGCACAGUGGGCGGGCGUGUGAGGUGGAAGUGUCCCGAUCGGGAUGCCCUCUUAUGGGGUGUGAACAGCUGUCGAAGGAGCUGUAGCGGGAGUGACGGUACUGAGUCAAGAAGCACCGGCUAACUACGUG